AAAGCGUGAAGAAACGAACCAUUUUUAGACAUCAUUGAAAACAACAAGACAGGAUGCAUUUCCUGAAAGAAUUUUUUCUUUUGUUUU